UACAGAGGUCCCAAGCGUUGUUCGGAUUCACUGGGCGUAAAGGGUGCGUAGGUGGCUGAGUAAGUCUGAUGUGAAAUCUCCGGGCUUAACCCGGAAACUGCAUUGGAAACUGCAUGGCUAGAGGGUUGGAGGGGGAACUGGAAUACUUGGUGUAGCAGUGAAAUGCGUAGAUAUCAAGUGGAACACCAGUGGCGAAGGCGAGUUCCUGGACAACUCCUGACACUGAGGCACGAAAGCUAGGGGAGCAAACAGG
rnacentral:rRNA from 1 species